UCUGGUGGCUCGGCGCGGUGGCAACACCCGUUCCCAUUCCGAACACGGCAGUUAAGCACCGUAGCGGCGAUGGUACUAAGCUUUGCUUGGGAGAGUAGCUAGCCGCCAGUA
rnacentral:rRNA from 1 species